rnacentral:tRNA from 1 species
UGGCUCAGUUGAUAGAGCAUGGUGUUUGCAACGCCAGCGUUGUGGGUUCGAUUCCCAC